UAAGCAUAGGGAAUUUUUUUAUUCCCGUCAUGUCGUAACUCACCAAGAAAAAAGAACCGUUCAUUUCGCUUCUUUUAUUAUUACAUUUUUUUUUUUUUUUUUUUUUUUCAUCACCAUCACCGUCAAUAUCUUUUCCCCUCUUCCUCGUGCAGUUUGGCAACAUUCACUUCUUCUCCGACUCUUCUGUAGAGCAGACGAUAGCCGCUCUUUUCGACGGUCGGAUAGUUUUUCAUCUGAGCAGAAACUUUGUGUUUUUGUGGUUCUCCGUUUCAAUGAUUCGAGUGAUUUGAAAGUUUAUUUAUUUAUAUUUUUUGGAAGGGAAGACAUGAAAGAACAUAUCCAUCAUCGCAAUUUCCUGCUAAUUGUUUUUAUUCUACAGUGUUUUGCUGCAGUUGAGCUGAAAAACGAAAAAAAUAGACAGGGCUCAAAACAGAAAAUGUUUAAUUAUUAGCUCUAUAUGUUAACCAGUUACUACAAGGAUAUACACUAAAGGAUUGCAUUAACUUCUCACAUCAUAUUUAGUGACAAGGCUAGAUGAAGUGAACAUCAGGUUUUUCCCAUUGAUAGUGAAUCUGAAGCCGAUAAGAAUUGGUUAAGACUCAUUUUUAUUCUGCAGGUUUGCUAUGGGCCGAUACUGAAACCUGCCACCUCUUGUACAACAUGAAUUUUGUAAAGCUUCUUUGAAUGCGUCUUCUUUUAGAAAACAUUUCUAUGGAUCACUGAUUUUUUUCACGACAAUCUGCAGAGCACUGUUUGUCAUUUAAUAUAUUAAUAUCAUCAAAAACUUUUCCCUAAAUUUAUUGUUUUUUUAGUUACGUAUAAACUUAA